rnacentral:rRNA from 1 species
ACGCUCGACACCUACGGGGGGCAGCAGUGGGAAAUAUUGCACAAUGGGGGAAACCCUGAUGCAGCGACGCCGCGUGAGCGAAGAAGUAUCUCGGUAUGUAAAGCUCUAUCAGCGGGGAAGAAGAUGACGGUACCUGACUAAGAAGCACCGGCUAAAUACGUGCAGCAGCCGCGGUAAUCUGAGCGGGCUGGCAAGGC